GACGAACGCUGGCGGCGUGCUUAACACAUGCAAGUCGAACGGAGUGGCGACCGGGGGAGAAACACGUGGGUGAUCUGCCUUGCAAUUCGGGAUAAGCUUGGGAGACUGGGUCUAAUACCGGAUAGUGAAAGAUGAGCUAGCGGCCUAUCAGCGUGUUGGUGGGGUAAUGGCCUCUCAAGGCGUCGACGGGUAGCCGGCCUGAGAGGGGGUACGGCCACAUUGGGACUGAGAUACGGCCCAGACGCCUACGGGAGGCAGCAGUGGGGAAUAUUGCACAAUGGGCGGAAGCCUGAGGCAGCGACGCCGCGUGGGGGAUGAAGGCCUUCGGGUUGUAAACUCCUUUCGACAGGGACGCGGUACCUGUAUAAGAAGCACCGGCUAACUACGUGCCAGCAGCCGCGGUAAUUC
rnacentral:rRNA from 1 species